UUUGUACGUGUAAGAAAAUCAUCAAAAUGAAAUUGUUGUUUUUAGUAGCCGUCGUAGCAGCUGUAUGGGUAGUAGAAGCUCAACGAGUCUGUGACAGCGACCGUGAUUGCGCAGCUGUGAUCGACUGUCACGCUCACGAAGAACAUCACUGUAAUCUACAUGAUGGGAGAUGUGAAUGUAGAGACCGCGCUGUUGGAGCCCCACCAGGUACCUGUACUGAUGAUGACUUGUCUAACUGUCAGUGUGAACAUGGCGGAACCCCAGGAUGUCUACACAGUCACUGUCACUGUAAUCAUAAUUAAAAAAAACCCAAAAUAACAGCCCCCAGAGUGGAAAAUACUUUAGUAUCACGAGACAUCAUUUUGAAACAAUGAGAAUAUCCAAGUUGGGUCAUGAUCAUUUUAUUUUUUCUUACUUUUAUUUUUGUGCUUGAAAACGAUAUGGGAAUACUUGUCGAAACGUUGUGCUAUAUGUCAAUAAAUCAGUGAUUAAUUUCCUUAUAAA